AGGAUAAACGCUGGCGGCGUGCCUAACACAUGCAAGUCGAACGCGCUUUCGGGCUUCGGUGCGAGAGCGAGUGGCGGACGGGUGAGUAACACAUGGGUACCUACCUUGGAGUGAGGGAUACCGGCGAGAAAUCGCCGACAAUACCGCAUAGGCUUCUUCACAAGGGAAGCAAAGUGACGCGAGUCACGCUGUGAGAUGGGCCUAUGGCCGAUUAGCUAGUUGGGGGGGUAACGGCUUCCCAAGGCGACGAUCGGUAGCUGGUCUGAGAGGACGAUCAGCCACACUGGGAUUGAGAACGGCCCAGACUCCUACGGGGGGCAGCAGUGAGGAAUUUUCCGCAAUGGAGGCAACUCUGACGGAGCAACGCCGCGUGCAGGAGGAAGGUUUUCGGAUCGUAAACUGCUUUUCGUCGGGACGAGCAAGGACGGUACCCGAGGAAGAACGCCCCGGACUAACGUACGUGCCAGCAGCCGC
rnacentral:rRNA from 1 species